CCAUCUCCGCACCCAGGAUCUGAACCGGUGAACCCUGGGCCGCCGAAGCAGAAAGUGUGCACUUAACCGCUGCGCCCCGGUGCUGGCACCAAGAAGAAAGGCUUCUGUCACCAGGAAUAGAACUUGGGCCACGGCGAGAAAGAAUCUGCUGCCUCAAACCGUGCUGCUAUAUCCAAAGGUGACCUCUAAAUGAACUGAAGCUUAAAUGUAAAGGUGGCUAACAGAAAAAAGGGUCAAAUCAGAGUGUAACCCUGUGGCCCUGGACCUUAAAAGCAUAAACUGUAAGAUUUUUUAAAAAGUGAUAUAUUUGACGAACUCAAAACCUUAAGGUCUACAUCAACAUGAAGUCUUCACUCAAAUCAUGAUAGUAAAAAGCCAAAUAACUAACCGGCAUAGAAAGAUGCUCAACUUCAUCAGAAAGGACUGAAUGCAAAUUAAAAUGAAAUACCACUUUACAUCCAUCAGUUUGGAAACAUGAGCAGGUACAAACAUAUAAUAUGUUGGCAAGGACGUGAGGAAGAGGAGUCUUCAGCUACUGCCGGCGGGAUAUAGGCUGGCACAGCCUUUCCACGCAGUGAUCUGGCAGCACUUCGUGACUCCAGAAUGUAUGUUCUUGAUGACCCCGCAAAUCCUACUCUUGAGGACAUUCCCUGAGAGUACAGAAAUGUUUCUCACAUCAUUGUUAGUGGUAACACAAAGGAAGACACAGUCCACUUCUUUUUUAUGCAAUACAAAAUUCUGUAGAACCAGACUAUGAAAAUAUAUCUCUUCUCUCUAUACACCUUUUUUUUUUUAAAACACAGUCUAUCACAAACUUUCUGUAGAGAAUUAGAGUAUGUCUGCCAACCUGAAGUACAAAAUAAAAAUAAAGUCUCAUAUUGGCAAAUUAC